rnacentral:lncRNA from 1 species
UGGCUUCGCGCGCUCAGGUUCCCACCAGGCCUUCCUUGCUCAGUUAACUAUUUCUGGAAACAUGUUCCCAGAUACACCCGAACAUCCAUGGUGAUUCUAAGUCUAAUAAGGUCCCUAAUUUCAGAACAAAAGUCUGGAUGGGAAGACAAACUCAAUUAACGAACUGAUGACAUUUUUUCAGUAAUAGAGAUGUUGAAGGCAAGGUUUUUAACAACUCUCUGUCUGUGUGUGUGAUGAUGGCAGGCCAAACAAGAAGUCGCCUAAUUGUAUAGAGGACAAGGCAGGAAUUCCCAGGGAUCACCUCUCAGGAAUGAUAUCCAAACUGGAAAGAUUUCUUCAUACAAUCUUUACUGGGUACUGUCAAUCAUAGCCAGAGACUCAAAGAAAAUAAACAUGUUGAUCAGUGAAAAUCCUAGAAGACACUAAACACAAGCAUUGCUGUUCUUUAGAGGGGAGGUGGUGAUAGAUCUAGGAACAAAGUUAGGAAAGAGCGUGAUAAAAUUAUAAACUGCUUAACCACACAGGCUAACAGUCAUGGAAAAACCCAUGUCAUGUUAAUAGCAACACUGGCAUGUUAUGUGAACAUAACAUUGCUGGUACCACUUAAAUUCUCAGUUCUUCCAGAGUGUGCAAGGGCUUCCUCUCCAAGCCACAAGUCUGAAAUUCAUGAGAUUUUGUAUUGGACACUGCUUGACAAGGGCACAGUAGCGUUUUCUUUUCCAGUAGAAGAAUUUCAUCUUCUAAAUCUAUUAUAACUGGACAAUGAAACUUGCUGAGCUGGCUAGAGUAUGAACACAUGUAACUGCUUACAUUCCUAUGUGGGUGUGAAAAGUUGGAGGAGAAAAUUACUUUCACCAC